AUUGAACGCUGGCGGCAGGCCUAACACCUGCAUGUCGAACGCGUGGCGGACGGGUGAGUCAUGCCUGGGAAACCGCCCGAUGGAGGGGGAUACCUACUGGAAAAGGUAGCUAAUACCGCAUACCAUCGGAUGUACCCAGAUGGGCUUAGCUAGUAGGUGGGGUAAUGGCUAACCUAGGCGACGAUCCCUAGCUGGUCUGAGUGGUUGACCGGCCAAACGGGAACUGAAACACGGUAAGGAGUCCUACGUGAGGCAGCAGAGGGGAAUAAUGCACAAUGGGCGAAAGCCUGAUGCAGCCAAGCCGCGUGUAUGAAAAAGGCCUUCGGGUUGUAAAGUACUUUCAGCGGAGAGGCGUUACCCGCAGAGGAAACAACGGCUAACUCCGUGCCAGCAGCCGCGGUAAUUC
rnacentral:rRNA from 1 species